AGAAUCAACGCUGGCGGCGUGCCUAACACAUGCAAGUCGCACGAGAAAGGGGAGCAAUCCCUGAGUACAGUGGCGCACGGGUGAGUAACACGUGAAUAAUCUACCUCCGAGUGGGGAAUAACUGAGAGAAAUCUUAGCUAAUACCGCAUAACACUUACGAGUCAAAGCAGCAAUGCGCUUGGAGAGGAGUUCGCGGCCGAUUAGUUAGUUGGCGGGGUAAUGGCCACCAAGACGAUGAUCGGUAUCCGGCCUGAGAGGGCGCACGGACACACUGGAACUGAAACACGGUCCAGACUCCUACGGGAGGCAGCAGUGGGGAAUUUUGCGCAAUGGGGGAAACCCUGACGCAGCAACGCCGCGUGGAGGAUGAAGCCCCUUGGGGUGUAAACUCCUUUCGAUCGGGAAGAUAAUGACGGUACCGAUAUAAGAAGCCCGGCUAACUUCGCGCCAGCAGCCGC
rnacentral:rRNA from 1 species